AUGUUUUUGAAUUUUAAAGCAAGAACUGUUCACUUUUAUAAAACAUGUAUUAUGAAAACAGGCAUCACAGAAACAACGAUUUCUACUACUAGAAUUACAUCUUUACCUCCACGAGGCUACAGUGCAUCCGCCAACAAGGGCAUGUCAAGCACCUCUGGGUCUGCUGGCCUGGAGAAGAACAUUUUGACUCCGAGCAACGGCAGUUCUUUUUUCUCAUCCUGUGGGUUAGGCUCUGGAUCAGGGGAAUAUCUGGCAGAGGAGACAACUGUGAGCAGGAAGACAGGUGGUGUCUCUGGAUCGGGAACAGGGUUGAGGGUAAGAUCCAGCUCUACUGAUGGCAUGAGAAGAACACAAGACUCCCCUCUGUUUGUGGAGAGGAAAAGCAAAACUACUCAUUCACGUCGUUAUGAUGGAAGUUCAAGUGACAACUCAUCCCCAGAAAUAAAAAGAAAAGACUAUGGUUCAAGAGGAAGGAGUCAAAGCAGGGGUGAGAUUAUUAUUUACACUUAUGCAACUAGUGUAUGAAUUACUUUGCAUAGGAUUAUCAUCUUUAUUGUCCAAUGAUAUUAUAUGCUUUUUUACUUUAAACACUCUCUUCAAAACCCUGCACAUAAAAUAAAUUUCAGCAAAUCCAAACA
ensembl:lncRNA